rnacentral:lncRNA from 1 species
AGCUACUGUAGGCGGGAGCUCAGUAACAGAACCACCUGUUGCAAUGAUGGAGUAGGCACUUAAUAAACCACACGAGGCUAGCUGCUUUAGUAACUUAUAUGAAGAGUUUCGUGCCUUUUAUGAAUCACAUGUUGAUUUUUAUUUUCUUUUCUUUGUACCGACAUUUGAUAUUGAUGCUACAUAUAUGUACACUUUAAUAUUAGUAAUUUUUUUUUGUAAACUAAUAUUAGUCACUCAACCCACAACAAUUCCUUGAAAUACCACUUCAAACCGUACAAAUAAUAUUCAUAUACUUCAACUUUCACGACGGCUCAAGUAGCCACUUCCCACUAAUUAUAU